GUCAGGAUGGCCGAGUGGUCUAAGGCGCCAGACUCAAGCUCUGCUUCCCGGCCCUGGGGGUUCUGGUCUCCGCAUGGAGGCGUGGGUUCGAAUCCCACUUCUGACA
rfam:Myotis davidii contig109613, whole genome shotgun sequence.